GGCUUACCAAGGCGACGAUCAGUAGCCGACCUGAGAGGGUGAUCGGCCACAUUGGAACUGAGACACGGUCCAAACUCCUACGGGAGGCAGCAGUGGGGAAUAUUGCACAAUGGGCGAAAGCCUGAUGCAGCAACGCCGCGUGAGUGAUGAAGGCCUUCGGGUCGUAAAACUCUGUCCUCAAGGAAGAUAAUGACGGUACUUGAGGAGGAAGCCCCGGCUAACUACGUGCCAGCAGCCGCGGUAAUACGUAGGGGGCUAGCGUUAUCCGGAUUUACUGGGCGUAAAGGGUGCGUAGGCGGUCUUUCAAGUCAGGAGUGAAAGGCUACGGCUCAACCGUAGUAAGCUCUUGAAACUGGGAGACUUGAGUGCAGGAGAGGAGAGUGGAAUUCCUAGUGUAGCGGUGAAAUGCGUAGAUAUUAGGAGGAACACCAGUUGCGAAGGCGGCUCUCUGGACUGUAACUGACGCUGAGGCACGAAAGCGUGGGGAGCAAACAGGAUUAGAUACCCUGGUAGUCCACGCUGUAAACGAUGAGUACUAGGUGUCGGGGGUUACCCCC
rnacentral:rRNA from 1 species